AUUCGUGAAUUACACCGACAAACUUGCGAUCUUCUCGAUAAAACAAUCGGACAUUUUGCUCUCUCGCUGUUGGUAACCAUUACCCUUCACGUAGCUUACAUAACAAAGCAGAUUUACACUAAUUGGUUGUAUUUAUAUGCAAUACCAUUGCACCGGGACUAUUAUUACAUCAUCUCAGUUCUUUACUGGACAAUUUUACCGCUCGUAUCGUUGAUGACUAUCACACGUUGUUGUAGUGUUGUCUGUCUAGAGGGUAACAAAACCGCUCAAGUACUUCACGCUUUGGAAUUACCAAAAAAUCUGGACUGUGAUGAUUGUAUUGUUGAGUUCACUCUCUUUUCACUUCAAAUCCUACAAACGCGAGUUAAAAUCUCAUUAUUUGGGCUUUUUAACAUUGAUCAUCAUUUCUUCCUUCACAUGAUUACUUCAAUAUCGACAUUGCUCGUUAUCCUCUUCCAAUUUGAUAUGCCUUAAUCGAUGUUCAAUCGAUAUAAAAAUCUAUGGAUCGACAUGCUAAUUGUGUCAACGUUUUCAAAUGAAUGUGAAAUCAGCAAUUUCAGGAGUAGAUUCGCGGGGUGUGAUAAGCGUUUGAAAAGCGCAAAAUGUUGGGGUUGCGGAGUGGAAAUGACAGCACUCGGUUUAUAAAGCUGCAAAUAUGUACAUAUGUACAAAGAUAGUUGGAGUUUAGAUUGUCAACAACUCCAGUCAGGAAGAAGAAGUCUCACUUCCACAGGAUCUGAAGAAAAUGGUGAACAGUCAAGAGGUUGCAAUAAAGUAAUUAAAUUCAUAAAAAAUGCAAAACUUUACAAUUACAUUUAAGAAUAAACAUACACCUCACAAUAUUAUAUAUUUCUUUAUAAUUUUUUUACUCUGAUCUGAAGUUAAAUUUAUACUGCUAACAAAGUAAUAUGAUUUUUUAUUUUUUGUAAUAAUUUAUA